UGGACAACGUGGAUAGGACUUGGACGGGGGACAGGUUGGGAGGGAAAACGAAGGAGGACUUUAGUGUAAGUUUGACCUCCUCUUGGGAGAGUCAAGUGGCAUAUAAAGUUGGCAAUUGGAAAGGUGGCUCUGAAGGCAGAAUUAGGGCUGUAGGUAGAAAUGUGUGAGUUCUGUGAAUAUAUGGGAUUGUUGUGACCACAGGGGUGGCCGAGGCUGCCUUUGGACAAAGGUAGGUGACAGAGUCUGACGGGACCCAGGAGGGGAAGAGCCAGGGAGGGAGUCAGGGGAAACCCGAGGGGCUUCUAGCAGUGCUUGCAGGGUCCACGAGAGGACAAGAUGGCUGGAAAAUGAAAUUCUGCUGAAAGGCAGUGGCAGUAAGAAAGGACACAGGCAACAAGGACCAGCACAAGGCAACAAAGAAUGGGAAUGGACCGUUUUUGGAGUGUUUUCUAGCUGUGAGGCACUCGCUUUAUUUCAUUUAGUAGCUAUACACUAUUAAAUGAACGCAUGCAUUUUCAUUUAACUUUUAUUUUGGAAUAAUUUUAGCUUCUAGAAAAAUUGCAAAAAUAAUACAAAGAAUUUCCAGGUGCCCUUUACCCAAUUUUCCCUAGCCACCUUGUAUAAUUAUAACAUAUUAAUCAAAACUAAAAAAUUAUCAUUGGUAUAAUGCUAACUAGACCAUAGACUUUAGUCAAAUUUCAGCAGUUUUCAACUAAGUGGAGGACACUAUUUGUGUACAGUUCCCUUUCUCUGUAACCUUACAGUAUACAGUCAAGGUUUUGUUUUCCAAAGUUACUUGGGUGGGUUCUUUUCCUCCGUACGGUCUCUUCAGCAUGGGUGUUACGUCAUUUGCUUGUGAUAUAGUUAGUUCUUUGUUACACUUGGUCUCUUAUUUUGGGCCUCUCCUCAUUCCUGAUUGCUUUUAUUUUUUGUUUACACACAGUAAAACUCUCUGGGUCUUGACAAAGACAUAGACGUGUGUAUCCAGCCCCACAGUUGUGGUACAGAACAGUUCUGUCACCUCCACGUUUCCCCCUACAGCCUGGAUCUUAACGGUGGUUUCAGGCGAGUGGGUAGCAAAGGGGUGGGGAAGGAGCUGGGCGGUGUAGGAUCUCCCCGACGACUGAGAACUUGACUGUGAGGGCAGCGUGCCCAUGGACAGAGCACAAGGGUAGGGUCUCCAGGUUGAGGCUGGGGGACGUCUCUUUAGCCAGUAGGUAGAGGUAAUAGGAGUGGCCAAAAGCCCCGGAGCCGGGCAGCAACCUCCCAGUGAGGACCAGCUGGGAAAGGCCAGCUGUGCGGACCAGGCAGGGUCUGAAGGGGCAGGUGGACCGUGGGGAGGGGUCCUGCCUGUUGUCUUCGCAGCUGACUGUGGAAAGAAGGAGGUGUGGAGUAGGUACCGGGGGAAGGUUAGAAAACAGCCUCUGUCCCCUGGCAGGGUGGGAGUUAAGGAGAAGGAAAAGAGAGGGUGGUGGGGCAGAGUGACACAGAGGACGGCCUGGGGCACGAGGAGCGGGGAUUUGCUGCAGUCCUCUCUGGAGGUACCCUUGACAGCUGCAGAACCAUGUGGAAAACGCAAAGGAGCUUUUUACUGCAGAGCUUUCGUUUGACCUGUGAGUGCUUGGAGUUGGGGGGAGUGAUGCGAGGAGUAGGCCAAGAACUGCGAGUCAAGCUUCUGGAAGAGGCUGAGAAGCAGUUUGAACUUUCACAUCGGUGGUUUUUCAAGUCAGGAAUAUUAGGUAUUAACUGAAGAAGAAAACACGGCCUUGGCCAGAGUAUCUGUAUGUCAAUAUUGAUACCAUCAGGAUUCAGUGAAACAAGAAGAUAUCUAUUCUGGACGAUAGCAGCUGCCUUUACUAAUUUCUUAUUAACUCAUACAGAGUUAAAACGUAUAUUCUUUCCUUUUCA